AGGUAAGCUACUAAGAGCGAAUGGUGGAUGCCUUGACUGGUAAAGGCGAUGAAGGACGUACUAGACUGCGAUAAGCUACGGGGAGCUGUCAAGAAGCUUUGAUCCGUAGAUUUCCGAAUGGGGCAACCCAAUGUAUAGAGAUAUACAUUACCUAUAUAGGAGCGAACGAGGGGAAUUGAAACAUCUUAGUACCCUCAGGAAAAGAAAUCAAUAGAGAUUGCGUCAGUAGCGGCGAGCGAAAGCGCAAGAGGGCAAACCCAGUGCUUGCACUGGGGGUUGUAGGACUGCAAUGUGCAAGAGGUAAGUUUAGCAGAACAUUCUGGAAAGUAUAACCAUAGAGGGUGAUAGUCCCGUAUGCGAAAAACAAACCUUAGCUAGCAGUAUCCUGAGUAGGGCGGGACACGAGGAAUCCUGUCUGAAUCCGGGUCGACCACGAUCCAACCCUAAAUACUAAUACCAGAUCGAUAGUGCACAAGUACCGUGAGGGAAAGGUGAAAAGAACUGAGGUGAUCAGAGUGAAAUAGAACCUGAAACCAUUUGCUUACAAUCAUUCAGAGCCCUAUGUAGCAAUACAGGGUGAUGGACUGCCUUUUGCAUAAUGAGCCUGCGAGUUGUGGUGUCUGGCAAGGUUAAGCAAACGCGAAGCCGUAGCGAAAGCGAGUCUGAAUAGGGCGCUUAGUCAGAUGCUGCAGACCCGAAACGAAGUGAUCUAUCCAUGAGCAAGUUGAAGCUAGUGUAAGAACUAGUGGAGGACUGAACCCAUAGGCGUUGAAAAGCCCCGGGAUGACUUGUGGAUAGGGGUGAAAGGCCAAUCAAACUUCGUGAUAGCUGGUUCUCUCCGAAAUAUAUUUAGGUAUAGCGUUGUGUCGUAAUAUAAGGGGGUAGAGCACUGAAUGGGCUAGGGCAUACACCAAUGUACCAAACCCUAUCAAACUCCGAAUACCUUAUAUGUAAUCACAGCAGUCAGGCGGCGAGUGAUAAAAUCCGUCGUCAAGAGGGAAACAACCCAGACUACCAGCUAAGGUCCCUAAAUCUUACUUAAGUGGAAAACGAUGUGAAGUUACUUAAACAACCAGGAGGUUGGCUUAGAAGCAGCCAUCCUUUAAAGAAAGCGUAAUAGCUCACUGGUCUAGUGAUUUUGCGCGGAAAAUAUAACGGGGCUAAAGUAAGUACCGAAGCUGUAGACUUGCACACAACUUAGAUUAUUUAAGUUUAGAAUAUGAGAAACUAAGUUAUAUGUUUAGUUAUAUUUUUACUGAUUUUUAUAGAGUAAAGAUAGAAAUAAAACUUAGUAAAAUCAGUAAAAAUAUUCUUAGACUAAAGUUAAGUAGUUUAAGUUGUGUGCAAGUGGUAGGAGAGCGUUCUAUUUGCGUCGAAGGUAUACCGGUAAGGAGUGCUGGAGCGAAUAGAAGUGAGCAUGCAGGCAUGAGUAGCGAUAAUUAAUGUGAGAAUCAUUAACGCCGUAAACCCAAGGUUUCCUACGCGAUGCUCGUCAUCGUAGGGUUAGUCGGGUCCUAAGUCGAGUCCGAAAGGGGUAGACGAUGGCAAAUUGGUUAAUAUUCCAAUACCAACAUUAGUGUGCGAUGGAAGGACGCUUAGGGCUAAGGGGGCUAGCGGAUGGAAGUGCUAGUCUAAGGUCGUAGGAGGUUAUACAGGCAAAUCCGUAUAACAAUACUCCGAGAACUGAAAGGCUUUUUGAAGUCUUCGGAUGGAUAGAAGAACCCCUGAUGCCGUCGAGCCAAGAAAAGUUUCUAAGUUUAGCUAAUGUUGCCCGUACCGUAAACCGACACAGGUGGGUGGGAUGAGUAUUCUAAGGCGCGUGGAAGAACUCUCUUUAAGGAACUCUGCAAAAUAGCACCGUAUCU
rnacentral:rRNA from 1 species